UACAGAGGUCUCAAGCGUUGUUCGGAUUCAUUGGGCGUAAAGGGUGCGUAGGCGGCGCGGUAAGUCGGGUGUGAAAUCUCGGAGCUUAACUCCGAAACUGCAUUCGAUACUGCCGUGCUUGAGGACUGGAGAGGAGACUGGAAUUUACGGUGUAGCGGUGAAAUGCGUAGAUAUCGUAAGGAAGACCAGUGGCGAAGGCGGGUCUCUGGGCCAUUACUGACACUGAGAAGCGAAAGCAUGGGGAGCGAACAGG
rnacentral:rRNA from 1 species